GACGUAGUCUCGCGAGACGAAGGACUCACAAACCUGGCGGCCCGGAACCGGCCUUGGACCGGUGGCAGUGCCUGAGGCGGCUGGCGCUCCCGCUCCAUGGAGCGGCCCCCGGGGCUGCGGCCAGGCGCCGGCGGCCCCUGGGAGAUGCGGGAGCGGCUUGGAACCGGCGGCUUUGGGAACGUCAGUCUGUACCAGCACCGGGAACUUGAUCUCAAAAUAGCAAUUAAGUCUUGUCGCUUAGAGCUAAGUACCAAAAACAGAGAGCGAUGGUGCCAUGAAAUCCAGAUCAUGAAAAAGUUGAACCAUGCAAAUGUUGUAAAGGCCUGUGAUGUUCCUGAGGAAUUGAAUUUUUUAAUUAAUGAUGUGCCUCUUCUAGCAAUGGAGUACUGUUCUGGUGGGGACCUCCGGAAGCUACUCAACAAACCAGAAAAUUGUUGUGGACUUAAAGAAAGCCAGAUACUUUCUUUACUGAGUGACAUAGGAUCUGGGAUUCGAUAUUUGCAUGAAAACAAAAUUAUACAUCGAGAUCUAAAACCUGAAAAUAUAGUUCUUCAAGAUGUUGGUGGGAAGAUAAUACAUAAAAUAAUUGAUUUGGGUUAUGCCAAAGAUGUUGAUCAAGGAAGUCUCUGUACAUCUUUUGUGGGAACAUUACAGUAUUUGGCCCCAGAGCUCUUUGAAAAUAAGCCAUACACAGCCACUGUGGAUUAUUGGAGCUUUGGGACUAUGGUGUUUGAAUGUAUUGCUGGAUAUAGGCCUUUUUUGCAUCAUCUACAGCCAUUUACCUGGCAUGAGAAGAUUAAGAAGAAAGAUCCAAAGUGUAUAUUUGCAUGUGAAGAGAUGACCGGAGAAGUUCGGUUUAGUAGCCACUUACCUCAGCCAAACAGCCUCUGUAGUUUAAUAGUAGAGCCAAUGGAAAGCUGGCUACAGUUGAUGCUGAAUUGGGACCCACAGCAGAGAGGGGGACCUAUUGAUGUUACUUUGAAGCAGCCAAGAUGUUUUGUAUUAAUGGAUCACAUUCUCAAUUUAAAGAUAGUACACAUCCUAAAUAUGACUUCUGCAAAAAUCAUUUCUUUUCUGUUACCAUGUGAUGAAAGUCUUCAUUCACUACAGUCUCGAAUUGAGCGUGAAACAGGAAUAAAUACUGGUUCUCAAGAACUUCUGUCAGAGACAGGAAUUUCUCUGGAUCCUCGGAAACCAGCCUCUCAGUGUGUUCUAGAUGGAGUUAGAGGCUGUGAUAGCUACAUGGUUUAUUUGUUUGAUAAAAGUAAGACUGUAUAUGAAGGACCAUUUGCAUCCAGAAGUUUAUCUGAUUGUGUAAAUUAUAUUGUACAAGACAGCAAGAUACAGCUACCGAUUAUACAGCUGCGCAAAGUGUGGGCUGAAGCAGUGCACUAUGUAUCUGGGCUGAAAGAAGACUACAGCAGGCUCUUUCAAGGACAAAGAGCAGCAAUGUUAAGUCUUCUUAGAUAUAAUGCUAACUUGACAAAAAUGAAGAAUACUUUGAUCUCAGCAUCACAGCAACUCAAAGCUAAAUUGGAGUUUUUUCGCAAAAGCAUUCAGCUUGACUUGGAGAGAUACAGUGAGCAGAUGACUUAUGGGAUAUCUUCAGAAAAAAUGCUGAAAGCAUGGAAAGAAAUGGAAGAAAAGGCUAUUCACUAUUCUGAGGUUGGUGUCAUUGGAUACCUUGAGGAUCAAAUUAUGUCUCUGCACACUGAAAUCAUGGAGCUGCAGAAGAGCCCCUAUGGAAGACGCCAGGGAGACUUGAUGGAAUCUCUGGAACAGCGUGCCAUUGAUCUCUAUAAGCAGCUAAAGCACAGACCUACUGAUCACUCAUACAGUGACAGCACAGAGAUGGUGAAGAUCAUUGUGCACACCGUGCAGAGUCAGGACCGUGUUCUCAAGGAGCUGUUUGGUCACCUGAGCAAGUUGUUGGGCUGCAAGCAGAAGAUUAUUGAUCUACUCCCCAAGGUGGAAGUUGCCCUCAGUAACAUCAAAGAAGCUGACAAUACUGUCAUGUUUAUGCAGGGAAAGAGGCAGAAAGAAAUUUGGCACCUCCUUAAAAUUGCCUGUACACAGAGUUCUGCCCGCUCUCUUGUAGGAUCCAGUCUAGAAGGCACAGUAACCCCUCCAGUAUCAACAUGGCUACCCCCCACAUUAGCAGACCGUGAACAUCCUCUGACAUGUGUGGUAACUCCUCAAGAUGGGUGGGUUUACUUUGUAACAAUAGGCAGUUGUGUUUUAGGGAAAGGGCAGGACAGGGCAGCAAGCAUGGUAGUUAACAGUGCCUUCAGACCAGGGCUCAGUUCUGACUAUCUCUUUAAUAGUGCUGAGUAAUGUUUUUUUCAGUGUUCAUAUAUUGUCACUUUAAAAUGAGAAUUACAGAAUUACUGUGAAAAUUCAGUUGAACAUUGUGUGUAAAUGCUUGGAAAUGAAUUUCAGUAAGUGUUACUAAUAAGUGUUGACUCAAUCCAAGCUCUAAGCCAUCUCUGUUCCCACAUAUCAAUUUCCUUUACCCAGACUGUACUCCUUCCUUAACCACUUAUCUCAGCAAGAAGUUAACACUUUUUUCAGUUUGUAUUUUUUAGUACUCAAGUUCUCUUUUAAUAUAGUAGUGAGGUCUAUUUCUUAAAUUUAAUUUUUUUAGUUCUUUAAAUUAUUUUGCAAAUAAGAACUCAGAUUUGCAGCCCUGCAUUUGGUCUUUAGUUCCUGCUCUUCUGCCAAAAGCUGGAUGACUGUCCAUCUGUUACCUUCUCAGCAUAAGUUGUGCCGUCUGUCUAUCUGUUAUCUUCUCAGCAUAAGGUGUGCCGUCUGUCCGUCUGUUACCUUCUCAGCAUAAGGUGUGCCGUCUGUCCAUCUGUUAUCUUCUCAGCAUAAGGUGUGCCGUCUGUCCGUCUGUUACCUUCUCAGCAUAAGGUGUGCCGUCUGUCCGUCUGUUACCUUCUCAGCAUAAGGUGUGCCGUGGUCAGGAGGCUCUUUGCUAGCUUGUGUACUGUCGCUUCUCUCACAACGCACGGAGCCUCCACAGCACCGAGCACUUCUUGGAAGUCUGCCCAUAACUGAGUUGCAGACAUGCACUCACGUUACAUGGCUGCCCAGGAGGUCACUCAGUGGCAUACUCUACUGCUUUUAUGAGAGAACAAGCACAUGGCAGGAAGGCAAGCUGAUCCCAGAGAGACGUUAGCACAAAUGAUAGAAGAAAAUCUGAACUGUCUUGGCCAUUUAAGUACUAUUAUUCGUGAAGCAAAUGUGGACCAGAGCAAUAGUAUGAUGAGUCUUGAUUGGAGUUGGUUAGCAGAAUGACUCGACAUUUGUUCACUGUCUUGAGCCUAUGAUGCUGUCCCAGCACUUCCUCUAAAGUCAUCUUUACUUGUGGAAACCAUUCUUCACAUACCAGUCCACGGAGGAGAGGGCUGUGAGCAGAAACUACGAAUGACUUUACGAGCACAGUAGCUUGCUGUUUUAUUUUAUUUUUUUGUAAAUAAUUGUGAUUUCUGAACAGAUAGGAUUUUAUAACAAAUUAGUGAAAUUAAUUAUUCUUUUCAACACUGCAACUAAUUAAGGAGAUCAUUAGUGACCUGCUUAUCUUAUAAAGUUGGAAAAAUACUACCAAUUUAGCUGAUUAAAAAGAUAACCUAAAGGUCUAAAUUUUAGGCAUAAGGCCCAACAUGGUAUUAGUAUACAGAGAUGAAAAUUUCACCCAGUGUUCAUUUUUUUUUAAUUAGAAGGUCUUAGAUAUAUAUUUAUCACUAGUCAAUGUGCAACAUCUAAAUAUUAUGAGACUAUACAGAUUGGUAAUUCCAUAGCAUAGCUCUAAUGAAGAUACAAAUCAAGUCUAUCUCUUAAGGCAUUGUUAACCUUGUCUUCUUUCUUAGAGGAAUGCCUUGCAAAAACAAAUCAGAUAACUCACAUUGAGGUACAUGGUUUUGUGAGAAUAUUAUAAUCAUAGCUACAAUUAAAGGACUGAUACUUUACACACUUCAUUUUCUUUAGUGCUUCCAGAACACAUUAGAAUUUCCUCAGAGACAUAUUUGUAUCAGCUUGCACGUGAAAAUUGCCUUUCAUGUCUUCUAGAACUUUGACAGUGUUCUUCAAUAUGACAAUGAUCUUCCCAGUUGUAGCCUAUAGCAGUGAGGUUCCAGUAGGUCUCCAACAUCACCUCUUUGUAGAGACUCUUCUGGGAAGGAUCCAGCAAAUUCCACUCUUCCCCAGUGAAGUUCACAUGCACAUCAUCAAAAGUCACUGCAUACAUGUCUCAAUUUCACCGCUUCCCUGAAGUCCCCUCACAGCACCCGACAGCAGAGCUCAGAGCAGGACACAGAGAACCAUUCAAGCCUGCACAGCUGCAGCGAACUUGCAGAAAGCCCAGUGUUCAUUUUAAGUAAAGCUUGUCUAUGGAGUUUCUGUGGAAGAGAAUGCUCACAAGUUAACUUGGGCUUUCUGAAGACUAAGCCUGCCUUCUUGUGUUGCUCUCAGCAAGUGCUCUUCUUGGCAUCACAUUGAGUUAGAUGAAUCUCAUCUUUAAUUGCACAUUUAAUAGAAUCCUUUUCUUAUGUAUGGGAUUGGACAUAUGUGCCUUUGAUAUCAGCUGACUGUAAUGAAUUGUGUGUUAUGUGUAUAUGUAUUUAAGGUGUACAUUUAAUAAUAUCAAAGAGAAGGUGCCUGUUAAUUUAUAAUGUAUUUGAAGGUUGUAUGUUUUUGCAUUUGUAAAAAUGGGUCACUUGUUUAAAUAAUCUUUUAUGUCUUGUCAUACAUGUUUCAAAAGGUUUGCAUUCCUUUAUCUGUAAUUAUAGCCUCAAAAUCCAAGAAGUUCUGAAAACAAGGUUUUCAUAAGCUUGAUAACAAAUUCAUUUGCGUCUGGAUCUAUUCUGAUCUGAUACUGAAUCUGCUUAUCCCAUUUAGUGUGAAUAUUCCUUUAUUUUUCCGCAUAAAUAUUACUGUGUUUUUUUUAAUUGGGGUGUGUUGCCACAGACUCUUAUAAGGGUUAAUGUAGUAUGGUGUAUGCAUAGAAUUACCUUUCUAAAAUCUGAAAAUUUCUCAUUCUGAAACAUCUAGACUCAGGGGUUUCAGAUAAAAGAUUGUGGAUCUCUGCCUUAUGUUAAAUAAUUUAGAAGGUGUUAUUUUGUUUUUAAAAAAUGUGAAAUGCUUUUAUAUUCUAGUUUUACACUUUGCAUAUUAAAUGAUUUUUAAACUA